CUCGUACGACGGUUUCUUUCAAUUUUUCCAUUUCCUUUCUCUCAUUCUGAAUCUGAGAGAGUAAUCCACAAAGCCACAAAUUUAUACUUCAUUACAGUGGAUCAUUGCUUUCAAACCUAUACUGUCAGCCUUGUGUAAUCGCCUUUUUCUGUGUCUUAAUCGGUCAAAAGCUUGUGAUAUCCAGAGCUCGCUUGAUUGCUGAAACAUUUUCUUUAAUAUAUUUGUUCUGGGCAGCCCUUCUUACUUUAGAGGUAGGAUAAUUUACAUGGGUAUCUUCUAUUUGAUGUACUUUUUAUUUUCUUUUAGAAAUUUAACACCGUUGUUGGCUUGGAUUUAAUGGCAUUUGCUAUUUCAUUGACUUUUUUAUUGAUUUGUUCUAUUAGUACAGCAAUUGUAUGGUUUAAUUUUAUUUUUUGUUUAAUUUGAUUGGCGGCACGUGAUUCCCUGACCUCCAUUGAGUUUAGUGUGUGUGAAUAUUUCUGUCGUGUUAAAUGAACUGCUUUUGAUUCCUUUUUUUUUUUUUCGUCGUAUAAGUUAAAGUUUGUUUUAAAGAGAUCAGGUAGUAUUAGAUGCAUAGAUUAAUUUGGAAAAUUCUUUUAUGAAUUCAUGAAAUGCAAGAUGAAAUUGUAUUUCCGAAAUGAAAACUUUGGCUCUUGACUCGUGUUUAUUCUGUUUUAGUUGAAACAAUUGAUGGGAAGAAUUCAAGGAUGUGUAAAUAUGGCAUGCGGAUUGGUGUGUCAUGUGUGUAUCAUGUUCUAAUCUUACUCUGACAUAUUUACAUUUUGUUGAUCUUGCCAAUGUGGCAUAACCCAAGAUCAAGAACCAAAAGCUGAGAAUGAUAACUCGUAGGUCCAUUUGAAUCCGGGCCAUUGUAUGGGAAGAUUUGUGCACUCUCACGUAUCACAAAUUCACUAGUAGUUGCAAACGUGCACAAGAAAGCCAUACAUAUGUACACCUGUGCUUACAUUAUCCUAUCUCAAACCAUGUUGCAAAAUUUUUAUUUCUUUCUUGAUGUUUGUCUUGAAGGGCUUUUGAGUCAUGAUUAACAAUUAGCACUUAAAUGCCAAUAGACAUCCAAAUUGUACUCUGUUCAACAUUUCCUAUGUUACUGCUGUCUAGAAGAUACAUUGUAACAAACUGGCAUGUUGACAAAUCAAUUAGGACCAUCUGAUGUUCAGGUUGCUAGAAGUUGCUUUAAAAGUCUCCUGUACUAAAUCAUUGUCUUAUAUGAAUUUCUUCUCAUUUUAUGAAAGUUCCUUGCACGAUUAUCUUCUUGAUAAUAUAUCCUGUUCAAUUUUUUAAUCCAGGAAGGGCUUCUAGUUUGGCUGCUUCUGGAGUCUUGGAAUUGCUGCUGUUGUUUUGGAAUCAUUUCGGUAAAAAUCAAAGACAUGUAAAGUUACAGAUAGUUUGUUAAGUAUUUGAGUCGUCCAUAUCUAUAUGAUUUCUUUUCAUAAACCCAAAAGAGAAUGAAGAGAAUGAAGAGAACAAACAUUCCAAAGCGCUACGUGAUUGUCAUUUUGACCUUCAUCUGUACUUCUGUCUGCUACAUAGAACGUGUGGGUUUUUCCAUUGCAUAUACUGCUGCUGCUGAUGCCUCAGGAGUAAAUCAAUCGAGCAAGGGCAUGAUACUUUCGACAUUCUAUUAUGGGUAUGUGUGUUCACAAGUUCCGGGUGGUUGGGCGGCCCAGAAAAUUGGGGGAAGGCGUAUUCUCUUACUUUCAUUUGUUUUAUGGUCUAUAACUUGUGCUUUUAUGCCACUUGAUCUGAACCGAGUUACGAUAUUGGUCAUAUCCCGCUUGCUUGUCGGAGUUGCCCAAGGCUUCAUCUUUCCCUCCAUUCACACUAUACUGGCACAAUGGGUACCACCACAUGAAAGAUCAAGAUCCGUUUCUCUGACAACUUCGGGGAUGUAUUUUGGUGCAGCCGCAGGAAUGCUUGUGCUUCCUAGCCUGGUCAAGUUUCGAGGUCCGCAAUCGGUAUUUCUUGCUGAAGCUGCUUUAGGUUCCAUUUGGUCUCUACUUUGGUUUAAGUAUGCCGUUGACCCACCUCGUUCUGAGCAUCCAAAAGCCACUGCUGCUGGAUUUGGAGAAUUAUUGCUGCCAAUUAAAGGGAACCAAAAGACGAAAGUUGAGAAUGGAGGACAUUCCAACAGAACCCCAAAAAUUCCAUGGAAGAAAAUUAUUUUCAGUUUGCCAGUUUGGGCAAUUGUGGUGAAUAAUUUCACUUUCCAUUAUGCUCUUUACGUUCUCAUGAACUGGCUCCCAACAUACUUUGAAUUGGGCCUUCAGCUUAGUCUUGAAAACAUGGGAUCUUCUAAGAUGAUGCCUUAUUUCAACAUGUUUCUGUUCUCAAAUAUCGGUGGGGUGAUUGCUGAUCACUUGAUUACCAGGAAAGUCUUGUCUGUGACUAGAACAAGAAAGCUUUUAAAUACCAUAGGAUUUGUGGUGGCUUCUUUUGCAUUAAUGGCUCUUCCCAGGUUCAGAACACCUGAUGGAGUUGUGUUUUGUUCUUCUGUGGCUCUUGGUUUCUUGGCACUGGGGAGAGCUGGAUUUGCAGUAAAUCACAUGGAUAUUGCUCCAAGGUAUGCUGGAAUUGUAAUGGGGGUUUCUAACACAGCUGGUACUUUAGCUGGCAUAGUUGGGGUUGAUCUUACUGGUCGACUUCUUGAAGCCGCUAAAUCUGCUCAGUUGGAUCUCACUAGUCCAGAUAGCUGGAGAGCAGUUUUUCUCAUCCCAGGGUCACUUUGUAUCUUGAGUUCAAUUUUGUUUCUUCUAUUCUCCACUGGGGAGAGAAUUUUUGACUGACUCGGGUUGUCUUACCUGCAAAUCAUGCCUUAUUUAUGUUGCUCUUCAGUAGAAAACAAGUUAUACUUGCACGUAGAGGUAUUGCUCUCUUUGUCAUCAGCUUCUUCUGAUAUAUUCGAAACAUAUUCUAAGCAUUCCUUCUGAUGCAUUCAAUAUAUUGGAAAUCCAAGUUUUUGUGUAAUUAUUCGUACGGCUUAUCUUGGUGGUUAACUCAAUUGUAAGCUAUAAAGCCAACAGGGACGAAGUAUAAUUUGAAGGACCAGAAAGAAUAAUUUGAAGGACCAGAAAGAAGUGUCACAAUUAGUAUAGAGGCAUUUUUAGAAAUCUCAAUUCAGUCCACAAAUUCCUCUGGUUUCUCGCAUUUCUUUUGGUGGACCAUAAAAAAAGAGAAAAACCAAUUUUCUUCAUUUUUGACCUUCCAAACACAUAUAUGUAGAAUUCAAUGUUCUCAUGCAUCCCACAAUUCUUCUACCUCAAGAAUUGACUCUUUUUGUCUCAAAUACCACAAAUAAUCUCUUUCCCUCAAGCCAAAAAUGGAGGACGAGCACGAGAUGUCGAGUUUGAGGUUGAGGCUCAAGAAAUCCUCUAUGAGCCUUACCUCUUGCUUCAAUGGAUCCCAACACCGCCGUGGAUUCUCAUUAGAUGCCUCUUCAUCUUCCUCUUCCAUGCCAAGUCCAAGAAGGUUGUCAUCUAUAUGGAUUUGCUCAAAGCCUAAUGACCAUAUGGACAUCAAAGGGAAAUGCAAGCGCCGCCAUAGGCGCCAUGCAUCUGCUGAUUUUAGCUACGAUCCUCUCAGUUAUGCCCUCAACUUUGACGAUUCUAACCAAGUUGUCAAUGGGGACGAGGAACUUCCGAUAAGGAAUUUCUCAGCCAAGUUACCGGCAUCACCGCUGAGGGCAUCCAAAAUGUUGUUGGCACCCACAACGCCAAGGUCACCAACGGAGACAUGCAGAUUGAGUAAGAGCCUUGAGGUGUCUAAUAUGAAGAAGAGAACAGACGAGGUGGCUGAUGCCAGGGCAGCAGCGGUGGCGGAGGUGAGGAGGAGCCUGGAGGAGCAGUCUUCGCAGGUGGCGGUCUCACAUUCUUCUCGGGAGAUCUUGGUUGAAUUAUGUUAGCGAGAUUUGGUGGCCUUUCGAUCGUAAAUGGUUGUGUUCAAUUUCUUUGAAUAUUAAUUCUUUGUUUUCCAGAAUCAAACAGCAAGGGUGAACCUAUUUUCAUGUAAAUUAUUAAUUAAAUAUGUUUGAUUGAUUUAAUUUUCAACCUAGAUAAUAUUAU
rnacentral:lncRNA from 1 species